ensembl:lncRNA
UAUUUAGGGGCCAAGCACCGAAGGUGCGUAGGCACCUAUUGAAACCGUUGGCGUUAUUAUUAUUCUUCUUCUUCUUCUUCUUCUUCUUCUUCUUCCGCCGCAAGUCUAUGGCAGCCCAUAGAACCGAUUGCGGGAAAGUUGUAUAAUUUGGCACACUGAUAGAGGACAAUCCCAGCAUUAACUAUAGCAAAUUUGAAGUCUCUAACUCUAACUCUCUAGCGCCACCACUUGUCCAAAAUUUCAAUGUUUUUAUGCUAAUAACUUUUGAACCGUAAGCCACAAAAUGGAAAUUCUUUUUUCCUCUGAAUCCUUGGCUCAGGCCAAGUCGAUUGAACCCCGAAAUUCAAAAAUCGCAAGGUUUAGUUUUUUCGCUAUUUUCAAUUGUUCGUAAAACCUACUUUUUCGAACUCGUCCUAGACGGUUAGUCCAAUUUUCACGAAAAUUGGCUCAGAUCAUCUUCAGAUGAUGCCGGCAAAAAGUUAUGGAAUUCAAGUUGAUUCGUCCAACCGUUCUCGAAUACCACGCGAACAAAUUCUACGAAAAGCACGCAAAAAUGCUUGUGAGGCUAUAACUCCGCAACGGUUUGGCGUAUUGAGACCAAACUUGGUGAGUGUUAUAACAAGCAUGACCUGAGACUACCUGCAGUGUUUCGACGCAGCGCCACCUAGUGGUCAGGAGAUAUAAAAAAUGCAUAUUUUUACUUAUAACUUCUGAAUGGUUUGGCCAAAAAUCACAAAACUGGUCUCAUUAGAUUCGGUGGGUCAUGUCGAGUCAAAUGAUAUCCAAUUUUCCCGUGUCGGCCAUUUUAGGUGUCGGCCAUUUUGAAUUAUGUUUCAAAAUGCUGUAUUUUUUGAACGCAUUAUCGUAUCGCUACGAAAAUAAUUACAAAAAUGUUUGGCUCCAUGCCCUGAAGCUACUCAAAAAGUUUGGUGGCAGCGCCACCUUGUGGUCAAAAGUUAUAAUGAAAUAUCUUAAAAAUGCUAAUAACUUUUGAAAAAAUUAGACUAUUGCAAUGAAAGUCAUGUGUCUAUAUUCUUUGGGUCAUGCCGAGAACAUCGAUACCAAUUAUUCCAAAAUUGGCCAUAUUUCCUGUCCGCCAUUUUUAUUAAAGUUGAAAACCUACUUUUUCGAACUCCUCCUAGACCGUUAGUCCGAUUUUCACCAAAUUUGGUUCGGAUCAUCUUCAGACCAAGCUGACAAAAAGUUAUGGAUUUCGUGUUGAUAUACGAAACGGUUUUCGUUUAGCGCAUCAACGAAUUUGUUCGUAAGAUGCCAAAAUACAUCUGAGGCUGUAUCUCGGCAAAGCUUUGACAUAUUUGUACCAAACUUUGUAUGUGCCAUUG